AAUCGGUUUGACAAAGUUUAAAUUUUUAUUUAAGUUUGUCAAACAUAUAUAUUUUUUAUUCAUACAUUUCAUGUUACUCACUUAUAAAUAAGGUUUAUAAUUUAUUAGUACUUAAAAGCACGUGUUCUAUUUGCAAACUCUCUUUUGACACGUUUCUAUAUUCUAAUGGAAUAUUGAGAUGGGACCUUCUAAUUGAAAGAAGGUUGAGAAUAAAAAUGUGAAAUUUGGAAACAUUAAUGUUACAAUGAAUAAAAUGAGGACUAAAGUUCAAUUUAAUGAAAAAACUUCCGUUGAUUGAAGCCUCGUCAAAAUCCCAAAUGUAUCUCAUUCCCACAGAACCCAAAAUCGCUGUAUUGCUCCACUGUAAUCCCCAAUAAUGGGUAGAAUUUCCUCCGCAGUAGAAUUCCCCGAAGACCGCCGCCUUCAUAGCCACCGGGAAAAUGCCCGCCGCUUUCCGGAAUCCCAUAAUUACCACCGUCCUAGUCUUAGCCUUUGCCGUAGCCGGAGUCCAAGCUACAGUAGUAGCCCGCCUGACGACGUCUACAACAGGUACCGUCGCUCUUCUCCUGAUUAUUCUUCGUACCCUAGACGUAGCCCAAGGCCUGAUGAAACCCUACAGGCCGACGGAAGAAAUAGAAACAGGUAUGACGAUGGAAAGAAACCGUUUCUCGAUCGCGGUUAUAAAAAUAUACGACAUGGGGAGUCUGAAUCGGAUGAAGAAUUGAAAUGCUUGGGAUUCGAAGAGUACAGGAGGCUUAAGCGCCAGAAAUUGAGAAAAUUGCUCAGGAAUUGUAUUUGGAAUAGUACUCCUAGCCCUCCUCGGGAUCCAAACCAAUCCUCGGAUUUGGAACCUGAGGAUGAAAUUACCAGGAAAGUUGAAGAAGAUAAGGAGAACAGAGAGGAUAACAAAUUAAAGUCUGGUUCGAAAAAAUUGAGUAGAGAUUCAUCAGAGAGUGAAUCUGAGUCGGAGCCUGAGGACUUCGAAUCUAGAUCAGAUGACUCGCUGUCAUGGAAGAAGAGGAAGAGUAGAAAGUCGAGUUUUAGGAGCAGGGCGAGGAGAUCAAAAUCUGUGUCUGAGAGCAAGAGUGGGUCGGAGGAGUCCAGCGAUGACGGCUCGGAAGAAGAAAAUAGGAGAAGGCGGAGGAGAAAAUCCAAGAAAGAGAACAGUACGAGAAGUAAGAGGUCUGGGAGAAGUAGGAGGAGAAAGAGCAAUAAUAGGAGGAGUUAUUCAAGUGAAAGCCAGACUGAUGAGAGUGAAACUGAGGAUUCCAAUGCUAGUGAUCAUGGUAAACUAAAGAAAGGGAAUCGUUUCCCAUCUUUGAUGUCUCGAAGGAGCAAGAAGAAGAAAGAAUCUGACAAAGAGAGUUCCAAUGCCGAUGAAAGUAGCUCUGAUUCUGAAAUUGAUGGAAAAAGUGCUAAGCAGAAGGUAGAUGAGGCUAAAGUGAGUGACGAAAAUGUUGCAGAGUUGCUUAAGUUCAAGGAAAUGAUUGAGUCUAGGAAUAAACUGACUCUGGAUAAUGAACCAGUUGUUGGGCCAAUGCCUUUGCCAAGGGCAGAAGGGCACAUUAGCUAUGGUGGUGCACUUAGGCCCGGUGAAGGUGAUGCCAUUGCACAGUAUGUUCAGCAAGGUAAACGUAUUCCUCGCAGAGGUGAAGUAGGCCUUUCAGCUGAGGAGAUUCAAAAGUUUGAGACUCUUGGGUAUGUGAUGAGUGGUAGUAGGCAUCAGAGAAUGAAUGCCAUCCGUAUCAGAAAAGAAAACCAAGUUUAUAGUGCUGAAGACAAACGAGCUCUGGCAAUGUUUAACUACGAGGAGAAGUCCAAGCGUGAGCAGAAGGUUAUGGCUGAUUUGCAGCGUCUGGUGCAGCGCCAUAUUGGGCAGGAUUCUGGUCCUUCUCACGAUCCUUUUGCUGGGAGGGCUGGUGAGGGUGGCGAUGUUUGAUUCUAGGUGAUAAUAGUGGUUAUGUCUCUAUUUUGUUUGUCAAUGUUUUCUUCUGGAUGAUGUAAGGAUAUAAACCUCUGGUGCUAAGAAUGUAGAGCAAAUCUUGUGCAGAUAUUAAUUUUUAAGUCUUUUGGUACUUCUUAAGUUUCAUCUGCAUUUUAGUAAGUCAGUUUAAUUCACAUGGAUUGUUACUAAUGAUAUCAUCUGAUGACCAAGAACUUCUAUAAAUGUAGAAAUUGUAUUUAUAGACUGUACUUAGAGAUACUUUCUAAAAGAGCAGCUAAAGAUAUGAUUGGUAGCACAGCCAUCAUGCUAGAACUCGAGGAUUAGAUGUGAGUUUUAAUACAUGCCAAACAAAAAUAUGGAUAUUCUUUUGGUUUGCUGAUCUCAAGUUUGAAUGUAAUGAUUCCUUGAAGGGGUUUACUAGUUCUGAUUUUUUAACGCUGAAUUAAGGUUAGUCAUGUAAAAUAAGUGGGUGACUGAUGAACUAUUGGAGGGAAUUUAUUUGUAAAGUGAAGUCAGUGUCAUUAAGGAGAAAGCAAGCUGCAAGAAAGAGAGAAGUAAAAAUGGGAUUUAGGCUGGAAAAAUUGAUAAAUACCAUUCUAAUCUCAAAAGUGCUGUUUCAAUUAAUGAUCACUGAGAUUCCCAAUUUAGAGGCAAUUAUUCUGGUAUUGUACCUAGUUCCUUAAGGCUACAUGUUAUGAGCUGUGUUUUUUGCAUGGAAUCAUUUCUGGAGAUUUUGAUCGAAGUGAAGUUUCUGAACGGCUUCUGAAAAAGGCAAUUCGAACACUGAUAUCAAGGGGCCCAGGAUCAAAUUCAUAUACUGGAUUUGUUUCUCUUUGUUGAAGUAUGAAGGGAAAUGGAAAUGCCACUUGGAUAAAACAGGUCAACAACUCCAGCUCAAACCAUGUCAGCAAAAUUAGGUCAAGCCAUGUCAACUGCAAAACAUUCUAGAAGAUGAGAGACCCAGCAAGUUGCAUAAGGAAUAUAUUGUGGAUACCUGUUGAAGAAAAGUGUAGAAGAAAUUUCUAUUAGGCAACUUGUAUAGCAUUCAUUCUGUUAUGUGUGUGUGUGUGUGUAUAUACUGUAAUUGCAAGCAUUUGAGAGCAAUAAUAAUUAUUUUUCUUCUCCA